rnacentral:lncRNA from 1 species
GCCUAAUGCUCUGCAGCAGAUGUGUGAAAAGUUCCUUUUAUCACAUCCUUCCAAAAAGACCCCAAACAAGAAUUUUACUUUGAUUGUAGCAAUUUUACAAACUCUGAUACAUUAUAAUGUCAUGGAACUGCGUUGAUGAUUAAAUCAUUUCCUCUUACAAAUCACUAAUGUUCUGUGAAGCAGCCAGUGCUAAUUUCAACACUCAUACCAGCUGUAAUGGAAAUGGAAGGAUUUCUUUGGGGAACAAUUGCAUCUAAUUCAACUCCACUGAAGCCAGUGUGGAGCACGUGAUUGAUUUCCAUCAGGCAGAGAAGCUGUCCUUUGAAAGAGCAAGUCCAGAAAGUGUUGAGAACGAACGUACUGAAGCAUGCUGCAGGAACUGGCUUCAUCUUGCUGCCUGAUAAGAAAGCAGAUUGACCAUCUGAGAAGAAUUCAGUGUUUGCUCAAGUGCCCGGGGUUUCCCUGUGACACAGAGAUGCCUGAGACUCAGCAACAGCCCAGCAGUGUUGUCGGUGCUCAGCUCAAACUGGUGUAUCGGGAAGGACUCUCCAGUGCACAUGGCACGUCUGGAAGUGGGGACUGGGCCCUGUCCUUCAUCCUGCUUCAGGCACUGCAGUUUGGCAGCUGCGUAUAGGAGUAAGGUGAGGCUGGACAGCCUGGGAAAUGCCAAAGGGUAAGUAAGGCCUCCACUGAUUUGCAGAGCAUCAACAUUAAAGCAAGCAAUACAAAUAUUUUCUUCUACUGUGUGCCCUGUUUUAAUGGGAAACAGAACAUCCUGGAGGAGUCCUCCAUCAUGAAAACUAGCAUUUAGCAGCAGAGGGAGAGGUCAGAUAUUUAGCUCUGCUUGUCAGUAAGGAAAUUUGGUGCUCUAUAGAAGUUAACCUUUGACUCCCACAGCAGCAGUAGAGGACAAUAUCUCAGCAAAAUUUGCACCCCAUAAAUCUUUGCACUCC